GGUUUCAUCGUCAAGAAUUGAUUUUAUUAUCCAAAAAGAAGGCUAAAUUACAGAAAACACUUGUGUCAAAAUCCGAUUUUUUAAUUUUCCUUUUUGUCAUUUAAAAAUCUAUACUUUGCUCCUUUAUAAAAUAAAAAAUAUUCACAAGGGUACGGUACGAACUGUGAUGACAAAAUAACUAUUUUGUCCCUCACUAUUUUGCCUCUCAACAUGUUUACAAGAUAGAAGACUGAGGAUAUUUUUGGCAUAAAAAAAUAUAUAAUAAUAUUUUAUAAACGGAAUUCUAACGGAUUACUAACGGUAAGGGAUGAAAUAAAUAAUUUUUAUUUUAUAAAGAGGCAAAGUGUAGAUUUUUAAAUGAUAAGAAAAAAAAAAAAAAAUCGAGUUUUCACAGAAAGAUUUUAUAUAUUUUAGCCCAA
rnacentral:lncRNA from 1 species